AACGAACGCUGGCGGCGUGGAUAAGACAUGCAAGUCGGACGCUAGAUUGUGUGUAGCAAUACUCGCAGUCUGGAGUGGCGUAAGGGUGCGUAACACGUGGGUAAUUCGCCUGGAAGCCCGGGAUAACUCCGAGAAAUCGGAGCUAAUACCGGAUGCGAUCAGGGGCUGGCAUCAGCUCCUGCUCAAAGUCGGGGACCGUAAGGCCUGACACUACCAGAUAAGCCCGCGGCCUAUCAGCUAGUUGGCGGGUAACGGCCCACCAAGGCUAAGACGGGUAGCUGGUCUGAGAGGACGACCAGCCACACUGGAACUGAGACACGGUCCAGACACCUACGGGUGGCAGCAGUCGAGAAUUUUUCACAAU
rnacentral:rRNA from 1 species